AUACGUAGGUGGCGAGCGUUGUCCGGAUUUACUGGGCGUAAAGAGUGCGUAGGCGGAUGUUUAAGUGAGAUGUGAAAUACCCGAGCUCAACUUGGGUGCUGCAUUUCAAACUGGGCAUCUAGAGUGCAGGAGAGGAAAGCGGAAUUCCUAGUGUAGCGGUGAAAUGCGUAGAGAUUAGGAAGAACACCAGUGGCGAAGGCGGCUUUCUGGACUGUAACUGACGCUGAGGCACGAAGGCGUGGGGAGCAAACAGGAUUAGAUACCCUGGUAGUCCACGCCGUAAACGAUGGGUACUAGGUGUCGGGGGUCCAACCUCGGUGCCGCAGUAAACACAUUAAGUACCCCGCCUGGGGAGUACGGUCGCAAGAUUAAAACUCAAAUGAAUUGACGGGG
rnacentral:rRNA from 1 species